rnacentral:rRNA from 1 species
CGGACGGGUGAGUAACACGUGGAUAACCUACCUAUAAGACUGGGAUAACUUCGGGAAACCGGAGCUAAUACCGGAUAAUAUUUUGAACCGCAUGGUUCAAAAGUGAAAGACGGUCUUGCUGUCACUUAUAGAUGGAUCCGCGCUGCAUUAGCCAGUUGGUAAGGUAACGGCUUACCAAGGCAACGAUGCAUAGCCGACCUGAGAGGGUGAUCGGCCACACUGGAACUGAGACACGGUCCAG